UAUAUAUAUAUAUAUAUAUAUACCUGUAUAUAAAAUUUAGUUAUUCCUAAAAGUACUGAAAAAAUUUCCGUUUUCCCGUUUACAGAGGAACCUCCCCCGGAUCUUGUUGGACCAACCCCUCCUGAGACCGGUUACGGCGCCUCCACUACCGGUGCAGAUGGCCCCUCUGGACCCCCAGGAGACCGAGGUCCCAUUGGUACCCCAGGUACACCCGGUACCCCGGGUCAACCUGGACCACCAGGACAGAU